rnacentral:rRNA from 1 species
GCUAGGAGGCGUCGAGCGGCGGACGGGUGAGUAAUGCAUAGGAAUCUGCCCGAUAGUGGGGGAUAACCUGGGGAAACUCAGGCUAAUACCGCAUACGUCCUACGGGAGAAAGCGGGGGCUCUUCGGACCUCGCGCUAUCGGAUGAGCCUAUGCCGGAUUAGCUAGUUGGUAGGGUAACGGCCUACCAAGGCGACGAUCCGUAGCUGGUCUGAGAGGAUGAUCAGCCACACUGGGACUGAGACACGGCCCAGACUCCUACGGGAGGCAGCAGUGGGGAAUAUUGGACAAUGGGCGAAAGCCUGAUCCAGCCAUGCCGCGUGUGUGAAGAAGGCCUUCGGGUUGUAAAGCACUUUCAGCGAGGAAGAAGGCCUGGUGGCCAAUACCCGCCAGGAGCGACAUCACUCGCAGAAGAAGCACCGGCUAACUCCGUGCCAGCAGCCGCGGUAAUACGGAGGGUGCGAGCGUUAAUCGGAAUUACUGGGCGUAAAGCGCGCGUAGGUGGCUUGAUAAGCCGGUUGUGAAAGCCCCGGGCUCAACCUGGGAACGGCAUCCGGAACUGUUAGGCUAGAGUGCAGGAGAGGAAGGUAGAAUUCCCGGUGUAGCGGUGAAAUGCGUAGAGAUCGGGAGGAAUACCAGUGGCGAAGGCGGCC